rnacentral:rRNA from 1 species
UACGUAGGGGGCGAGCGUUGUCCGAAGUUACUGGGCGUAAAGAGUACGUAGGUGGCUUGUUAAGAUACAUCUGAAAGGUGACAGCUCAACUGUCAAUGAUGGUGUAAGACUGGCAGGCUUGAGGCAAGCAGAAGAGUGUGGAACUCCGAGUGUAGCGGUGGAAUGCGUAGAGAUUCGGAAGAACACCCAUGGCGAAGGCAGCACUCUGGGCUUGAACCGCAAGGUGAACCUGACACUGAGGUACGAAAGCCAGGGGAGCGAACGGG